UUUAUGGAGAGUUUGAUCCUGGCUCAGAGUGAACGCUGGCAGCGUGCCUAAUACAUGCAAGUCGAACGAUGAAGCUUCUAGCUUGCUAGAAUGCUGAUUAGUGGCGCACGGGUGAGUAACGCAUAGGUCAUGUGCCUCUUAGUUUGGGAUAGCCAUUGGAAACGAUGAUUAAUACCAGAUACUCCCUACGGGGGAAAGAUUUAUCGCUAAGAGAUCAGCUUAUGUCCUAUCAGCUUGUUGGUAAGGUAAUAGCUUACCAAGGCUAUGACGGGUAUCCGGCCUGAGAGGGUGAACGGACACACUGGAACUGAGACACGGUCCAGACUCCUACGGGAGGCAGCAGUAGGGAAUAUUGCUCAAUGGGGGAAACCCUGAAGCAGCAACGCCGCGUGGAGGAUGAAGGUUUUAGGAUUGUAAACUCCUUUUGUUAGAGAAGAUAAUGACGGUAUCUAACGAAUAAGCACCGGCUAACUCCGUGCCAGCAGCCGCGGUAAUACGGAGGGUGCAAGCGUUACUCGGAAUCACUGGGCGUAAAGAGCGCGUAGGCGGGAUAGUCAGUCAGGUGUGAAAUCCUAUGGCUUAACCAUAGAACUGCAUUUGAAACUACUAUUCUAGAGUGUGGGAGAGGUAGGUGGAAUUCUUGGUGUAGGGGUAAAAUCCGUAGAGAUCAAGAGGAAUACUCAUUGCGAAGGCGACCUGCUGGAACAUUACUGACGCUGAUUGCGCGAAAGCGUGGGGAGCAAACAGGAUUAGAUACCCUGGUAGUCCACGCCCUAAACGAUGGAUGCUAGUUGUUGGAGGGCUUAGUCUCUCCAGUAAUGCAGCUAACGCAUUAAGCAUCCCGCCUGGGGAGUACGGUCGCAAGAUUAAAACUCAAAGGAAUAGACGGGGACCCGCACAAGCGGUGGAGCAUGUGGUUUAAUUCGAAGCUACACGAAGAACCUUACCUAGGCUUGACAUUGAGAGAAUCCGCUAGAAAUAGUGGAGUGUCUGGCUUGCUAGACCUUGAAAACAGGUGCUGCACGGCUGUCGUCAGCUCGUGUCGUGAGAUGUUGGGUUAAGUCCCGCAACGAGCGCAACCCCCUUUCUUAGUUGCUAACAGGUCAUGCUGAGAACUCUAAGGAUACUGCCUCCGUAAGGAGGAGGAAGGUGGGGACGACGUUAAGUCAUCAUGGCCCUUACGCCUAGGGCUACACACGUGCUACAAUGGGGUGCACAAAGAGAAACAAUACUGCGAAGUGGAGUCAAUCUUCAAAACACCUCUCAGUUCGGAUUGUAGGCUGCAACUCGCCUGCAUGAAGCUGGAAUCGCUAGUAAUCGCAAAUCAGCCAUGUUGCGGUGAAUACGUUCCCGGGUCUUGUACUCACCGCCCGUCACACCAUGGGAGUUGUGUUUGCCUUAAGUCAGGAUGCUAAAUUGGCUACUGCCCACGGCACACACAGCGACUGGGGUGAAGUCGUAACAAGGUAACCGUAGGUGAACCUGCGGUUGGAUCACCUCCUUUCUA
rnacentral:rRNA from 1 species